rnacentral:rRNA from 1 species
CUAAAUGUAGGUAUUGCAACUGGAACUGGAUGUGGCCUUGGAUCCAUAAUUAUUGCAGUAUGUGUAGUUGUAUUCGCCAACAAGUGGAAGAAAGGCAUCCAGAAUAGAAUCCGACAAGCACACUUCAAGAAAAAUCAAGGCCUACUCUUGCAGCAGUUGAUCUCAGAUGAAAGCGCCACAAACAAAGCAAAGAUAUUCUCCUUGGAGGAACUAGAGAAGUCAACCAACAACUUUGAUGCCACUCGUAUUCUUGGUCGUGGAGGACACGGUAUAAUUUACAAAGGCAUUCUAUCUGACCAACGGGUGGUGGCUAUUAAAAAAUCCAAAAUUGUGGAGCAGACUGAGAUAGACCAGUUUAUCAAUGAGGUUGCUAUCUUAUCUCAAAUCAUUCAUCACAAUGUGGUAAAGCUAUUUGGUUGUUGCCUCGAAUCUGAGGUGCCUUUCCUGGUGUACGAGUUUAUAUCUAACGGUACAUUGCAUGACCUUCUUCACAUUGAUGUUACUGCCAAAUGCUUGCUGUCAUGGGAUCAUCGCAUUAGGAUUGCAGUAGAAGCAGCAGGGGCACUUGCUUAUCUGCACUCGGCUGCUGCAAUACCAAUUUUCCAUAGAGACGUAAAAUCGUCUAACAUACUAAUGGAUAGAAGCUUCGCUACAAAGGUUUCUGACUUUGGUGCUUCAAGGUCUCUUUCCCUCGAUGAGACUCAUGUGGUGACUAUUGUCCAAGGAACAUUUGGUUACCUAGAUCCAGAGUAUUACCAUACCGGGCAGCUAACUGAAAAGAGUGAUGUGUAUAGUUUUGGAGUAAUACUUGUGGAACUUUUCACAAGAAGAAAGCCAAUUUUUAUCAAUGAUCUAGGUGCAAAACAAAACUUGUCCCAUUAUUUCGUGGAAGGAUUGCAAGAGGGAGAUAUCAUGGAAAUAAUGGAUCAUCAGGUUGUCAACGAGGCAAACCAGGAAGAGAUUGAUGAUAUUUGCUCACUUGCGGAAGCAUGCUUGAGACUCAAAGGAAGAGACAGACCUACUAUGAAAGAAGUAGAUAUGAGGUUGCAAUUCAUGAGAACUAAGAGGCUAAGAAAAUGCAAAAUUCUCCCAGCUAAUGAUGAAGAGAUUGAGCCUUUUUUAUGCCCAAAGGUUGGUAAUUCUGAUGCACCAGCGAAUGUUGCCAAUGCUGGUAAUUCAAAAUCAAAAGGCACCUCUAGUUGCUACAGUCUAGAGCAAGAACUUUCAUCGUUGGUCACUUGGCCACGCUAA